rnacentral:rRNA from 1 species
UACGAAGGGUGCUAGCGUUGUUCGGAAUUACUGGGCGUAAAGCGUACGUAGGCGGCUUUGUAAGUCGAUUGUGAAAGCCCCAAGCUCAACUUGGGAAUUGCAAUCGAAACUGCUUGGCUUGAGUUUGGUGGGGGAUGGUGGAAUUUCUAGUGUAGGGGUGAAAUCCGUAGAUAUUAGAAGGAAUACCGGUGGCGAAAGCGACCAUCUACGCCAAUACUGACGCUAAGGUACGAAAGCGUGGGGAGCAAACAGG